UACACACGUGCUACAAUGGUCGGUACAAAGGGUUGCCAAGCCGCGAGGUGGAGCUAAUCCCAUAAAACCGAUCGUAGUCCGGAUCGCAGUCUGCUACUCGACUGCGUGAAGUCGGAAUCGCUAGUAAUCGUGAAUCAGAAUGUCACGGUGAAUACGUUCCCGGGCCUUGUACACACCGCCCGUCACAGCAUGGGAGUGGGUUGUUCCAGAAGUAGCUAGUCUAACCGCAAGGGGGACGGUUACCACGGAGUGAUUCAUGACUGGGGUGAAGUCGUAACAAGGUAGCCGUAGGGGAAC
rnacentral:rRNA from 1 species